CUAAUUGUAUUUAUUUCACAUCACGAUUAUCACUGGAUUAAAGAUUUACUUAGCUACAUAAUUUGCGUGUUGCAACUGUAUAUGUUUAUACAAGGGUUGACGGCGUAGCAUCGCGGCUGCGGCGGGCAUUUGGUCUCGCACACCAUCGGAGCCUGUGGUCCACAGAAUACUGGCCCGGGGCUGGAAGGGCAACACAUCGGCGGCGGACAACCGUACUUCAUUUUACGAUUUUUUUAUAAUACUUGACAAUUUUGUUUAAUGUAGGAUUGGUUACCUAAAUGUGAAAGUUGUAAAUGCUUUCCACUGCUAUUUAUAAACUUUAUUACGCCUACGUGAUUUUGUGCGGUUUAUAGAUUUUUUCGAAAAAUCUCGGUGGCUGCAUAUUUCAGCCUACAUGUUAAGGACUAACCACACUUUUUUAGCUAUUCAUCACCUAUACAACCUGCCUUUUUAUCAAGGUAAAUGCAUACACGGCAGUUCGCGAAAUGAAUUAUUUAGUAUGCAGAUAGGAUUAUGUAAACUCUUUUUACACGCCACUUUUUCGAGCAGGAGUUAUUAUUUCGUAACUGACUAUUCUGAGAACAAAUGUCGGAACAAAACCUAGGAGGCAGUUAGCAUCAGGUACAGGAAGCUGUUGGCCCCUCUUGGCCGAAGGUACCUCGCGGUCGGCAUAGGUUAUUCAGUAAAAGUCUGACACUACCCGCUUUCUACCCCGAGGAAAUGGGUGCCUACGAGAACUCCCCCGCCAAACCAAAACAAAAGGUACAGAAGCAGAACAAAAAAGAUAGUGUGGUUAGUCCUUAAGACCACACAAAUUGAAGUUGAAGAACAACUGAAAGUGUUGUCGCAUAUCUUGCAAGCAGAAUAUGUCUAAUAUUAGACCGGGCAUUUCUUUGUUGUACAAAAUUUUAAACAUUUAGGAAAAGACUGUAACUGGGGUCUGUCCCACGAAAGAAAAUGAAAACCUGACAUCGGAAUUACAAGAUAAAUAAAGG